rnacentral:rRNA from 1 species
GACGAACGCUGGCGGCGUGCUUAACACAUGCAAGUCGAGCGGAAAGGCCCUUCGGGGUACUCGAGCGGCGAACGGGUGAGUAACACGUGAGUAAUCUGCCCUUCACUCUGGGAUAGCCACCGGAAACGGUGAUUAAUACCGGAUACGACCAAUCCCUGCAUGGGGUGUUGGUGGAAACUUUUUUGGGUGGGGGAUGUGCUCGCGGCCUAUCAGCUUGUUGGUGGGGUAAUGGCCUACCAAGGCUUCGACGGGUAGCCGGCCUGAGAGGGUGACCGGCCACACUGGGACUGAGACACGGCCCAGACUCCUACGGGAGGCAGCAGUGGGGAAUAUUGGACAAUGGGCGGAAGCCUGAUCCAGCAACGCCGCGUGAGGGAUGACGGCCUUCGGGUUGUAAACCUCUUUCAGCGCCGACGAAGCGCAAGUGACGGUAGGUGCAGAAGAAGGACCGGCCAACUACGUGCCAGCAGCCGCCGUAAAAC